rnacentral:rRNA from 1 species
GCAAGUCGAGCGCAUCCUUCGGGAUGAGCGGCGGACGGGUGAGUAACGCGUAGGAAUCUACCUGGUAGUGGGGGACAACAUGGGGAAACUCAUGCUAAUACCGCAUACGCCCUAUGGGGGAAAGUGGGCGACCGUAGGGCCUAUCGCUAUCGGAUGAGCCUGCGUAGGAUUAGCUUGUUGGUGAGGUAAAGGCUCACCAAGGCGACGAUCCUUAGCUGGUCUGAGAGGAUGAUC